UCCAGCCCCUGGGGGCUUUUCUUUCUCCCCUCGUGCUUCUAUAUUAUGUUGAUUGCCCAUUGCCUCUGCUUCACCCACCUCUCGCCUCCUCAUCCUCUUCCUUUCCCUUCUCUGCUCUUGUCCCAAGAAUCCAUGGCAGGCUGCAAUCAAGGGAAUAUAGCUCCUCAAGGCGAAGAAGUGCUAUUGGAGAAAAGAUAUGGAGGUAUUGUAGCCAAAAAGCCAUUAAUCUCCAAGGACCAUGAAAGAGCUUACUUUGAUUCUGCUGACUGGGUCCUUGGCAAGCAAGGAACAAGCCCAAAGUCAAAAACCGCUGUUGAAUCUCUUAAACCCAAGUUGAAGCGCACUCCUCAUCAUCAGCUUCCACCUCGAAAGCCUGCAUGCACAACCGGCGUCGAAGAUACAACUUAACAAGUGUGCUUGGGGGAAGGAAUGUCAAAAGCCUACCCAGGAUCCAUGUGCAAGUUGGAACUCCCUGUGUUGUGCUGUCCGUGUGUUCAAACCAUUACAAGAAGAUUUUACAUUUUGCGGAGUUGGAGCAGAAGCUGUGAGCUUUGCUGUUCUUGUGAAGUCGCAGGAUAGCUCAGUAGAAGUCAAUUCUCUUAAUUUCUGUUCUAAGAGAUGACUCAAUGCAUCACCACCUAAAACAUUCAAUCCUGGUGAUAAUAGACUCUUGUUAACAUCUGAAAAAUUAUUUUCUAAACAACUACCAUUCCCUUUGUCCCAUUUAUCAACCACCAAACCGCCAGAUUGAGACGCACUAAAUGUUUUUAUCAACGGGGAUGUGAAUGUAAAAGAUAUGAUGUCAGUAGCAUUUCUAUUAUCCUCA